UGCCGGGCCGAUUCGAAAUCGCAGCUGCUUCGUUUUGCUAGUUCAUGUCGCUAUGGUUAUUGCAGAUGUGGCUUGAAGCUGAGGUUGCAGUUGUUGAUGAUUUCGGGUUGAGGCGGAAAGGACUCUGUGACGCGUUUGAGUUAUGGAAUUUGCGUUUUGAGGAUAUGGGCGCAGAAGUCACGAAGAGUUUAUUUAGUUGUUGUUGAGAUGCUCUGUCUUGCUUU